rnacentral:rRNA from 1 species
AUUGAACGCUGGCGGCAGGCCUAACACAUGCAAGUCGAGCGAGCGGCGGACGGGUGAGUAAUGUAUGGGGAUUUGCCCGAUAGAGGGGGAUAACUACUGGAAACGGGGGCUAAUCCCGCAUACUAUCGGAUGAACCCAUCUGGGAUUAGCUAGUUGGUGGGGUAAAGGCUCACCUAGGCGACGAUGUGUAGCUGGUCUGAGAGGAUGAUCAGCCACACUGGGACUGAGACACGGCCCAGACUCCUACGGGAGGCAGCAGUGGGGAAUAUGGGACAAUGGGCGCAAGCCUGAUGCAGCCAUGCCGCGUGUAUGAGGAAGGCCUUAGGGUUGUAAAGUACUUUCAGCGGGGAGGCGUUACCCGCAGAAGAAGCACCGGCUAACUACGUGCCAGCAGCCGCGGUAAUAC